rnacentral:rRNA from 1 species
GAUCAUGGCUCAGGAUGAACGCUAGCUACAGGCUUAACACAUGCAAGUCGAGGGGAAACGACAUCGAAAGCUUGCUUUUGAUGGGCGUCGACCGGCGCACGGGUGAGUAACGCGUAUCCAACCUGCCCAUCACUUGGGAAUAACCUUGCGAAAGUAAAGACUAAUACCCAAUGAUAUCUCUAGAAGACAUCUGAAAGAGAUUAAAGAUUAUCGGUGAUGGAUGGGGAGUGCGU